GGGAUUGUAGUAUAGUGGUCAGUACUUCUCGUUGUGGUUUCUUAUAAUACAACGAUCCGAGAGGACCCAGGUUCGAUUCCUGGCAAUCCCA